UAGGGAAUCUUCGGCAAUGGACGAAAGUCUGACCGAGCAACACCGCGUGAGUGAAGAAGGUUUUCGGAUCGUAAAACUCUGUUGGUAGAGAAGAACGUUGGUGAGAGUGGAAAGCUCAUCAAGUGACGGUAACUACCCAGAAAGGGACGGCUAACUACGUGCCAC
rnacentral:rRNA from 1 species